GUGAGUCAUCGAAUCUUUGAACGCAUCUUGCGCUCUCCGGUCUUCCGGAGAGCAUGCCUGUCUGAGUGUCGCUAAUAAACUUAGGCUGAAAGGUCUGAUUCGGAUGUGUGCCGUGGUUGGCUCCGUCUUAGAAGCAAUUGGAAUGUGGCCCGUGCCAACCCUUUUGAGGUGUUUGAUGGUAAUCGCUUUCAUACGUCUUCGUUUGGGGGGUGGUGUGUCGGGCUCCCCUCUGCGGUUUGCCCUUGCGGCGCUGUAGUGUUUGGAAUUCUGUGUCGUGGCCUCAGAUCAGGUAGGACUACCCGCUGAACUUAAGCAUAUCAAUAAGCGGAGGA
rnacentral:misc_RNA from 1 species